GUACCACAAACUGAGUGGCUUAAACAACAGAAAUUUAUCGUCUCUCAGUUCUAGAGGCAAGAAGUCUGAGAUCAAGGUGUCAGCAGGGCUGGUUUCCUCUGAGGGCUGUGCGGGAAGGAUCUGUUCCAGGCCUCUCUGACUUGUAUGUGGCUGCCUUCUCCCGCCUUCACUUUGUCUUCUUUGGGAUGGCUGCCACAACCCCAGACCUCUUGUCUAUAGUCCAAGCAUGAAGAAGGAGGGAAAAGUUUAGUGAAAUGACAAGGAUGGCCAGUAAAGAGGCACUUUGCUGGCCAAGAACCCCAUGUGGGGCUGUGACAGGCAGAAGGAUGGCUCCUUGAAGAUACUCAUGUCCUAAUUCCCAGAACAUGUGAAUAUGCUACUUCAACAGCAAAAGGGACGUUGCAGAUGUAAAUUACGGACCUCGAGACCGGGAGAUUAUUCUGGAUUGUCUGGUGGACCCACUGUAAUCACAAGGUUCAUAUAAGGGAAAUAGGGAAGCAGGAGAGUCGGAGAAGGAGAUGGGAUGAUGGAGGCAGAGGUUGGAGUGAUGCAAUUGCUAGCUUUGAAGGUAGAGGAAGAGACCUUAAGCCAAGGAAUGUGGGUGGCUUCUAGAAGCUAAAAAAAGGCAAACAAACAAACAAACAACAACCCUGCAACAGAUUCUUCCCUAGACCCUCCAGAAGGAACACUGCCUUGCUAACACCUUGAUUUUAGCCCAGUAAAAUUCAUUUUGAACUUCUAACCUGCAGAACCAUAAGAUAAUAAAUGUUUGUCAUUUUAAACUACUUAUGUUUGUGGUGAU
rnacentral:lncRNA from 1 species